UGCGUAGGCGGGUUUCUAAGUCAGAGGUGAAAGCCUGGAGCUCAACUCCAGAACUGCCUUUGAUACUGGAAGUCUUGAGUAUGGCAGAGGUGAGUGGAACUGCGAGUGUAGCAGUGAAAUGCGUAGAUAUCAAGUGGAACACCAGUGGCGAAGGCGAGUCCCUGGAAAACUCCUGACACUGAGGCACAAAGGCUAGGGAGCAAACA
rnacentral:rRNA from 1 species